CGGCAGCGCGAGGGGGUGUGGCCAGAUGGUUUCUCCUUAAAAUGGCUCCAAGUCUGGGGACAGCUAGAGCCAGCGGAAGGGCACGCCGUGGCAGUGCUGGAGUAGCUGUUCGAGUGGGACUGACUGGGCCAAACCGGACCAGACGUGAAGUAGACCGCGCCUGGAGCACCACCCCGCCCUUGCGCGCUCUGCGCGCGCGUACCGAGAGUCUCCCUCCCCCUGUCUUGAGCUGAGUCUAGGGCCUACUGGCGCAUGAGUCCUUGGCGUCCCGCGGCAUGGGCAUCUCUGCGCACCGGUUCUGUCCUGGCCUCAGAGGAACUUUGUCGCGUUCUCUAUCCGCUGGACUAGACGGGUGGGAUGCUUGACACAAAUGGGGCUUGGCUGUGGGGUUCUUUGCAGGGCCGGUUGCAAUGGGCUUGGGGGGAGGCUGUCCUGCCGCUGCUAUGUGGGCCAGUUUGGCCCCUGGCACUUCAUGAGCUGGCACCGUCACCAGACAAAAGGUCCUAAGCUUUGGGGAGUCCCAGAAGUGGACACAUGGGUUUACUUCCUCUCGGGUCUCACGGAAUCGCUUCCCUCUUGACGGAUUCCGAAGCCUGCCCGGUACAAGUGGCUCCUGCUUGGGACUCACAGGGCUAAUCCAGCCCUUCUGAUCUAAUCCGGAUCAGGACCUCGUCCCGGGGGAUGCCCCCACCUUCUAUUGUUCUGGGGCCCAGGUGCACCCCCAGACUGAUGGUGGCAGUCAGAGGCGACGAAAAAAGCUCGGGCUGAUGGCCCUGUCUGGAAUCCCUGGAGAACUCUGACCAGGGAGGUCCUGGGUCCUCUCUCUGAAGGGCCGCAAUGGCGGUGAGUCCCACAAGGCCGCCCAGCCCGCAGCUCGCUAAAGAUAGAUCUUCACUUCCUGGGGAAAACCCACCCCAACCGUCUUCAUGGAGGGAGAGUAGCUAAAAUCACCAACUUGCUGGUGGGUCCCAGCCCUGCUAGCAGCUGAACCCACACCACAGCAUGGAAAGUGCUUUGGAAUGACACGAUCACUCCCGUUGAGUGGGCACCCAAGAAGCCAUCGGGAAUGUCGUGUCCGCCCAGUGCUCUUUCGGCACCUCCCAAACAGGGCCUCAUAGCCCCGGCCUUCCCGAACUUUUCCUAUCUCUAGAUGUCACUCCUCUCCGGAGCAAAGUUCACCGGUUGGAUUCAUUCAUUACUGGGGGAAGUGGAGUUUCACGUUACUUGGAAACGAAAGAGUUUGGACAUAGAAAAGCUCACCUGCAGCUUGCUCUACCUGAGAGCUCUGCUUAUUUGGGUCUUCUCAUCAUCACAUUUGUCUUAAACUGACCAGUUGCCUAAAGAACCAAAGGUGCCGGUAACACCAGUUUAAAGGAAAAACAUUAAAGGCUGGUAAUCCUGGAAUCAUGAUGACUAAUUCCUCGGGUAUCAAGAUGGGCAAUUCUAUCCGAUUGGGCUUUUACUGGGAAUAAAGACAUUCCAUACCGCAGCCGAGGAAAGGCGUACCAAUAAUCAGAACUCAAAUUUUGCUUUGUUUCGUUACUUUUCCAAGUAGGCGGUAAAGAGUCUUUAAUGGAAGACACGAGUGGUGGCACACACCUUUAAUCCCAGUACUCAGGAGGCAGAGGCAGGUGGAUUUCUGAGUUCAAGGACUUUCUGGUCUACAAAGAGUUCCAGGACAGCCAUGGCUACACAGUGAAACCCUGUCUUGAAAAACAAAGUGUCAUUAAUGGUACAGCCUUAUUCCUUUGACAUUUCGUCUCGUGCGUCUGGCCUUUAAUUUGUUUAAAUGGGGCAGAAAAAGAAAAAAGAGACAUAAACACAAAGAUGUGAAACUUUGGUGGCAAAGUGUCUUGCCUGGUAACAAAGAUCCGUUAUCAAAGUAA
rnacentral:lncRNA from 1 species